rnacentral:rRNA from 1 species
UACGAAGGGGGCUAGCGUUGCUCGGAAUCACUGGGCGUAAAGCGCACGUAGGCGGAUUGUUAAGUCAGGGGUGAAAUCCUGGAGCUCAACUCCAGAACUGCCUUUGAUACUGGCGAUCUCGAGUCCGGGAGAGGUGAGUGGAACUGCGAGUGUAGAGGUGAAAUUCGUAGAUAUUCGCAAGAACACCAGUGGCGAAGGCGGACUCACUGGCCCGGUACUGACGCUGAGGUGCG